GCUUUUCUCAAACCUUCAUUUCCUAGGACCAAGACCCCUGGACCUGGAGCCCAGUCAGCCCUCAGAGCCCUGGCCCGCUCUGGUAUGAAGAUCGGGCGGAUUGAGGACGUCACUCCCAUCCCCUCCGACAGCACCCGCAGGAAGGGGGGUCGCCGUGGUCGCCGACUGUGAACUGGACUCCACGAUAUUUUCUGUUAAUAAAAUGCCUUCGUGUAAACUAUU